AUUGAACGCUGGCGGCAUGCCUUACACAUGCAAGUCGAACGGCAGCAUGAUCUAGCUUGCUAGAUUGAUGGCGAGUGGCGAACGGGUGAGUAAUACAUCGGAACGUGCCCUGUAGUGGGGGAUAACUAGUCGAAAGAUUAGCUAAUACCGCAUACGACCUGAGGGUGAAAGUGGGGGACCGCAAGGCCUCAUGCUAUAGGUGCGGCCGAUGUCUGAUUAGCUAGUUGGUGAGGUAAAGGCUCACCAAGGCGACGAUCAGUAGCUGGUCUGAGAGGACGAUCAGCAACACUGGGACUGAGACACGGCCCAGACUCCUACGGGAGGCAGCAGUGGGGAAUUUUGGACAAUGGGCGAAGGCCUGAUCCAGCAAUGCCGCGUGUGUGAAGAAGGCCUUCGGGUUGUAAAGCACUUUUGUCCGGAAAGAAAUGGCUCUGGUUAAUACCUGGGGUAGAUGACGGUACCGGAAGAAUAAGGACCGGCUAACUACGUG
rnacentral:rRNA from 1 species